AUGCUCUUGGCACAGCUGAAGGCUCCAACUGAGACAGCAGCACCUACAGCAGCAAUGAUGUUGAUCCCACUCUUCUUCAGCUCUCUCCUCUUCCUCAUUCAAGGUUCCUUUGGACAAGUCACUAUCACUCAAUCCCCCCCAGUGGUGUCCAGUCCAGGAGGCACAGUCAUAAUCAACUGCAAAACAGCUGGAGGUGCUGGCGUGUCAUGUUAUCCUCCAUGUAUCUCCUGGUACCAGCAGAACCCUGGUGGAAAACCCAAACUCCUCAUCUAUUCUAUGAACAGGGUCCAGACUGGUAUUCCUGCUAGAUUCAGUGGCAGUGAUUCUUGGAAUGACUACAGUUUGACCAUCAGUGGAGUCCUGAGCGAAGAUGCUGGAGAUUAUUACUGCAUGAGUUAUCUACGUGGUGGCAACGGCGAGUUCACACAGUGA